UUCAAUGUGUUUGAUUGGAAAGGCGAGAAGGUUGAGCCCGUCCUUGUACAGAAACUUGCUGAUAGGAACAAUAUAUCUCUCAGUUAUGGGUUUCUGCAUCAUAUUUGGUUUGCAGAUAAGUAUUCAGAAGACAAAGGAAAAGUUCUACAGACCAAAGAAGGAAGAGGCCAGGGACUAACCACCAACAAGAAGAAAGAUAGGGAUAAACUAGGAGUAACAGUAGUUACUGCUGCAUUAAGUUUCCUGGCUAAUUUUGAAGAUGUAUAUAAACUAUGGACUUUUGUUGCCAGGUUCCUUGAUGCUGAUUUUGUGGAGAAGGAGAGAUGGAGAUACACCGCUCUAAAUCAGAAAACAAUUGAAGUUUAAUUCACUAAAUUUCAUUUAUUCUUCUGGUUUGUGAUACACAGAACACUUAAAAGGGUGUGGAUUUUAAUGAGGAUUUGUAUCUUGUCAUUGUAUGCACAUUAUGAAGAGAGAAAGAAAUAAAAUAAUUCUUUGAAUCAUGAUAAUAUUUGUAUGUAAGAGAUUAUAAUGCAUAAUAUUCUAACUCAAUUGAAGAUUUCGAUACAAUACCUUGUUUAACAAUUCCAAAAAUUCAGUAAUUACCAAAGAAAGUACAAAACAGUCGGUGGUUGAUUUUCUUAGUUUUAAACAACUUCCUUAGUUUGCAUCAAUAUAUGCUUACUGAAAGAUGACAUUUGUUGUUGACUAGAAAAAAAAAAAAGACCUUCACUUAGAGUGGACUUCAACCAGGUUAAUAAGUGAUGAUGGACUACAAUUAAAUGUGUGGUUAUUGAAUUUUUGAUGUAUUAACUUAGCUUAUGAAUACAAAGGUAUGCCUAGCCAAAAAAAAUAGAUAAAGAUACUUAGACAACAUUUUUUUGACAACAUUUGAACAUCAUCAUACGUGUCAUUGUGUGAUUGGUCCAUAGUGGUGUCAUUGUGUCAUUUGGACCAAUCACACAAUAACACGUAUGAUGAUGUUCAAAUGUUGUUAAAAAAUGUUGUCUAUGUAUCAUUAGUCCAAAAAAAAUAACCAAACACAUAAGUCUUUGAAAUAAUCUUUUAUAUAUAAGAGAUCCUCAAUAGGGUCACCAUGGCUAAGUUUUAAGUGGGAAUGAUGGAUAAUGUAAUUGGAAUUCUACAUAAGAAACCAAUAUCAUUAAGUAAAAAUAAAAUACAUUUUUUAUGAUUCAAGGAAAUACCCUUGUUGGAUAUGAUAAUUUCCAAGCCUAAGAAAUAUUGGAGACAACAAAAAAAUCAUUAGUUUGAACAAGAAACUUAAUAUCAAUUGUAACUUGUUAACACAAGAUAAUUAAAGUUUGCUUGUUGUCAUCCAUAUAAACAAGCAAAAAGAAUAGAAGUUUGUAUAGGUCCAUAUAUAAACUUUUUUUACAUGCAAACUAAUCCCUUUAUGCUGCUUGUAAUCCUCGUGAAUACUUAUAUAUGCUUCCUCAAAUAACUCCACCAUUUUGAUAUCUAAUUUCUUUCAAAUUUUUGUGGUAACAACACUAAUAAGAUCCUUAUAGAAAUAAGUUUAGCCACUGAAGCAAAAGUGUCUAAAAAAUCAAUCAUAGUCUAUUAUGUGUAGCCUUUAACUAGCCAUGAAACUCUGUAUUUGCAAUUCGAUCCUCAACAUUGUAUUUCAAUUUGAAAAUCCAUUUGAACUCUAUGUAGUACUUACCUUUAGAUAAAAAAACUACAUAAUAAUAAUAAUGUACUAACCAGCUGAAGAGUGAAAAAGAUAAAAUAUCUGAUAUAAUGCAUAGUUUUUUAUUUUAAAUCACGAUCAACUUCAAUAGUAUACACGAGAGACUGAAAAAAAAUAAAAAAAGCACAGUUAGAAAAUUGAAUAUACUAUCUAAUUCAACGAGAAAGUAAUCGGAAUAACCUUCUAAUCACACUACCAAAACUGACAGAAGAGUUGCUUCCAGCACUAUUAUAUUUCAUAACUGUUCUUUGAUGAAAUAUGUUUACUUAACAAAAUCAGUCUACAAAGCAUCCUGGCCUUUCUUGAAUAUAUCUUAGUGCGUUUGAAAGUCCAAACAUGCAUGUCUGUUGAAAAAUAUCUAGUCAAAUUGGAACAAUUACAUAGAAUAUAUCUCUCUAUUGGUUUCGGAAUGUUUAGGCAUCACACACAGUAAACGAUAAUUAAAUAUAAAAAAAAAUGGAGCAUAAAGCUAGAAAUUGUUCGUCACUUCAAAACCGUAAAAGAACAAUAUCUGAAUAGUAUUCUAAAAAUACAAAUAAGGAUUAAAUUUGACUUUGAUAUCUUCCUUUUCUUUGUUGACUGGGAAUUUGAUGUUGUUCAAGCGACUUGACAUACCCAUUAUUCAAACACGGCUUCUAUGAAUGCAGCCGACCAAGAAGCUUGUUCAAAGAAGUCACAUUUCUCCACUAAGAAUUUCACAUCAUUAAUGUAUUUUAGUUUCUCUCACGUACACACAUCUGAGGAGGCUGUUAGUUCUUGUUUCAUUUCAGAUAGUCAUAAUAAAUAAACUCAAUAUACGUAUACUUUUCGAUGAAAACGACACAUUCUGGAAUAGACAAUUUCUGAAACCCCCACUUAACUAACUAUGCAAGUACUUGGUCAAACAACUGUUUUAAUUUACACAAGUCGUGUAAAUUAUGUUUAUUUUCAAGAAUUUAUCUUCUAUAAAAUUGGAAUCUCAUUUGGAAGAAUAUAAAAAAAUCAGCAUGUUCAUGCUUCAGGAAAACUCCUACAAGUAAUGGUAGAGUUCUUCUAUUAUUAUGACCACGUGCCAUUGAAUGAGUUGACGCAUUCCGUAUCUGAACUUACUCAAGUGGCUUCUAUUUCUAUUAUGGUUGCGUCAUGUCACAACUUGUGGCAUAGUAACUACUCUCGUCAAAGUUCAGGUGACCAUUGACCGAUCGCUCACAAUCAUAAACAUGAGACGUUGUCACUGUGUCGUAGAUGCAAGAUAAAAUUUCCCUUUGGCCCCUAAAAGAGGGUACCUACGAAUCCAUCUUGCUCCUGAGCUGCUUCUCAAUGCAUAAGCUUAAGCUUAAUUUGGCAAGGAGUGACCCCGUAUCUUUUCCAUAAAUGCAGUGCUCUCGCGUUGUAACUAUCAUGAACUUCCAUAUCAAGUCCCAAUCUGGCCUGAUUUGAGCAUAAUAAAUAAGACAAGUCUAAAAUGAUUUAGGGACACUUUAUAGAAUGCACCGUUAGAAGUUGUUCAAGUCCAUAGACAAAAUACGUGAGCUCAGGGUCAAGAGUGCUUGUCUGAUUAGCAGAGGGUAUUAAUAUGCCCCUCAGAGUAUGUUUGAUUGGCAAGGAUGUCCAAUAGUACGUAAAUAUCCUCACUUUGAGGAUGGCUACUGUCUCCAACUAAAAAUUCAUGACUCUUGCCAUCCACCCUUAUAAUGCUAGACCCAGGAGCCUUGCUUAUUCCUUUCUGCUUCAUCAGUCUCCUAACAUUUCUCACGUCAGCCCAUUUCUUGUUAGAGGCAUACAGAUUAGAAAGAAGCACGUAUAUGCCACUAUCUCGGAAUUCAAAAUUCUGCAGUGAUUUCAAGAUUUCUUGGGUGAAUCCAACAUUCCCAUAUGUAUUACAGGCACUCAAAAGCGCUCCUAUGAUCUGCACAUCAGGGGACAUGGGCAUUGUCUUUAUCAACUCCACGGCUUCCUCCACCAGUCCAGCUCUGCAGAGUAAAUCAACCAUGCAGCCGUAGUGUUCUAACCAGGGAGAAAGAUUGUAGAGGGGACUUGACAUCUCGUUGAAAUACUUUCGGCCUUCGCUGACCAAGCCAGAAUGGCAGCAAGCUGUUAAAACUGCAAGAAAUGUCACUUCAUUAGGCUUUGCACCAGACACUAUCAAAUCUUCAAAUAGCUUCAAUGCUUCCCUCCCAAGUCCAUUUAUUGCUAGGCCACCUAUAUAGGCAUUCCAAGUACGGAUAUUCCUAGAAGGCAUUCCACUGAAGAUAUGCUGCGCCAUGUCUAUACAACCACACUUUGCAUACAUGUCAACCAAUGCAGUUCCUAUAUGAACAUCCCACUUGAUACGGCAUUGAUCAAUGUACUGAUGGACCCAUCUGCCAUAGUCAAGAAGCCCAAGGCUGGCACAAGCAGAAAGCACACUAGUUAGUAUAACUCCAUCUGGCUCAAAACCUGAGCCUUGCAUUUGACAGAACAAGUCCAGCGAUUCACUGGGAUACUGGCACUGCACUAACCCGCUUAUCAUACUAGUCCAAGAAAUAAUAUCUUUCUCAGGUAUCUCAUCAAACAUUUGCCUUCCAUCAGUGACAGACUCACACUUCAUAUACAUAUCCAACACAGCAUUGCAUACCACCAACUCCUUCCCGAACAGACAUUUGAGACCCAACCCAUGAAUUCCUUUCCCCAAAUUUAAACAACCCAAUUUCCCACAAGCCCCAAGUAUGCUGACAAAGGUUGCUACAUUAGGUUCCACAUCCAUUCUCAAAAACAAUGCGAUCGCCUCAUUAAACAACCCAGCCUUGACAUACCCAGAUAUCAAGCCAGUCCAAGAGACCACGUCUCUCACAAGCAUGUCAUCAAACACCUUGCCAGCACCAACAGUGUCCCCAGAAAUGCAAUACACAUGGACAAGAGUGUUUUGCACAUAAAUGUCGCACCACAAGCCUGUCUUCAAAGCUACGGAAUGAAACUGUUUAAUCUCUACAAUCCCAUAAAACUUAGCACAAGAUUUCAAAACUGCUGGGAUAGUGUACACAUCAGGCACAAAACCAUUCCUAACAGUCCAUCUAUAAAUCAGGAUUGCAAGCCAGGGUAAGUGGCCAGAGGCAUAGCCAGAAAUCAGCAAAUUGCAAGGGAAAGAGCUCAAGUUCCAAUCAAAUUGCUUCAGGAAAUUGCAAGGGUAAUGAACAUCUGUAACAUGUUUUCCCAAAAAAAUUGCAGCUUUGGAAACAACCAAGUCAUUGGCAACAAGGGCAGAAGUCAAUAGAUGCGCAUGAAUUUGCUUGAAGGAUCUCAAGCCAUUGCUCUUGUGAAUCAAAUCCAAGAGAACCAAUUUCAGAGAUUGCCCAGCCUUGCUCAUGCUAGUGAUCGGUGCUCAAACAAUCCAUCCAAAAUCUUUCACUGUUUAUGAGUGGACAUAGCCACGCUUAGUUAUUGCCACACAAGGUUAUCAAAAUCACAAGGAGUUUACGUUCCCACAUCCUCUAACCUCAUUAACUCGCACAUAGAAUUGCUUCUGAGUAGGCUCGUAUGAACUUGCAAACUCCGCGCUUCACUUAUUUAAAAUAAUGGAAAUAAAUAUGAUUUAAAAUAAGAGAUAUAAAUUUAAUAAGGUUUAUGUUUAAUAAGAAAUAUUAACUUUAAUAUAAGUGUACUGUAGUUUUAAACUUUACAUGAAUAUUAUUUUUAAUAUUUUAAUAUUCAGUUUAUUUUGAGUUUAUUAAUGAUGUUAAUAUUUAAUUAUUCACUUUUGGUUUUAUAUAAUAUUUUAGAUUUUAUCAUUGUCAUGUGAAAAUUGUUUAAACAUACUAAAAGUUCAUAAAAAAGUCUUUAUUUUACAAUUUUUUAUUCUGAAUUUCAGAUGCAAAUUUUGUUACUACAUUUUUACCAUGUAAUUUCAAAUUUCAAAUUUAAAACUCGUUACCAUAUAUUUUAAAUGGUUGGUUAUCUUUUCUCUUCUAAAGUUUAAAGAAAUUAUAAUUUUCAUAUUUUAAUAAUACACUUAUGUUAUUGAAAUUAUUUUUAAAUCAUUAUUUAAAUUUACAUAAUUGGAUUUCAAUGAAACAUUAUUUGUAAUGAUUAAUUAUUUAGUUUAUUAAUAAUGUCAUUAUUCAAUUAUUUAUUUAUUAUUUUAUAUCAUUAUUUAAUUAUUUUAUUAUUAUUAUUAUAUCAAUAUUAUAAUGUUAUUGUAAUUUUACAUUCUUAUAGAAUUUUAUUAUGCGAUAUAAUACAUUAUUAUUUUCUUUCAAAUUAUUAAAUUUGUGGAAUUUUUCUUUUUUCAAAUUUUGUUCCCAACUUAAAUACAGACUCUUCUUAUAGGUUAGAAAACAAAAUAAUAUGAGUGUUUCACUUGUACCUCCAAUCAUUUUAUUCUGCACUUCUAAUUUUCUAAAAUACCUCUAAUUAAUAAUAAGAUGGUUAUUUGUUAAUUUUUUGUUUAUUAAAAAUUUCUGUGCCCAUUAACUACAGCUCCCUUUUUCUCUUAUCAGAAAACAUGCAUUCUUGCACCCCUCUACUCCCUCCACCCCUCCACCUCAUUUGAUUUUUAUUAAUAAACCCUACGUUCCAGCACCCACAUGAAUUGCACGUCUCAAAAUUAUUUUCUUUGAAAUAAAAUUUAAUUAUUUGUAAUAUUUAUACCUUUAAGAAAUUGUCAUAUUUCAUAAAAAAUUUAACAACAUUUUUUCAAAUUAUAAAACAUUCCGAUCCCAUAUCAACCUACCAUCCAAUCUCACAUCUACUAACAUUCCAACAAAACAUAGCAUUUUUAUUUACAAUAAUAUAUCAGAAAACACUAAACUAAUCCUGCAUAGAAAAGAACCUGCCACUUCCCUAUAACCCCUACCUUGAUUAGAUAUCCCAUUAACCCCGUCCACACGUUGAAAGUUAAAUAUAUGUUCAUAUCAGUUUUAUUUAUCGAACAUAAAACAGUACUCAUAUUUCAUACCCCUAAAACCAAAACAUCCAAUCCAGCUAAAUCAGAUUAAUAUUUCAGAUCAUAGAUACCCCUCUUUACUCUAUGACCAUAUAUCAUUUACCUAGUUUUAAGCAAUUUUCAAUUCUCAUCCACUUAGUUUCACCCAUCACAUUACACCACAUGGAUUCAAACAAAUAAGCUCUCAUUCAAUUAAAACCAGUUUCUGAUAAACAACUCAUAUAUAUUCAUUCUUUAAAAGCUAUGUAAGGUAUUCUAGUAACACUUAACAUCAGUUUGAAUAUCAACCAUUCAGUUCCGUUAUACCUAGUGUUGACCAUAAUCUGAACAUAAUUUUACAUAAUGAAUUAACCUAACACACAAUCAGACCUCAUUACCCCCACUAACUUGUUAUUUUUAAUUUCAGAAUUUUUACACAUAUACAUUCCACUUAUGUGCAUCAACGCCAUUGCCAUAUAUUCAAAACAAAGUGAACUUGUCAUAUUUAAUAUCGUCUACCACUUUUAGCCAUAUCUUCAGAAUUGUAAAACCCUCAGUAUACAAAUUCAUUCCUACCAACACAAUUCAUAUUUCUAAUACUUCAUAAUUAAGCAGUCAUUCAUUUGUAUCCCCCAAUUCAGCAUUAUACUGCAGUUUAUUCAUUAAUCAUAGAAUACAAUGUCCCAUUUCAUAUAUUCAGAACACUCAACUACAGAAACCUUACUCCACUCACCCACAUUCAUCGGAAAUAACACAAUCAUACACAAAUUCAAACACACAGAAUACCAUUACCAUUUCCCAGCAACAUAAACAUCAACCACAAGCACUCGAAUGACACGCCGAAAACAAAAAAUCUGUGUGAACCGGAUAUGGGGAACCGAUUCACGCAGAUGUGCCAACUACAUUCAACCAAACAGCGACCAACCUGCUGUGAGCGAAAACUCGGUGCGUGUUUGUGUAUACUGGCAGCGCUAGUGUUCGAGCCUUCAACGAAGCUCCCUCGAGACAGAAUGCACCACCUUUGCGAAGCUGUGGCUGCAGUGCGAAAGCUCGCUCCUGUGUGCGACGAUGGAAAGAGGAGGACGAAAUCAAAGGGAGAGGAAAAAGCAGCUAUGUGCCUCUGUGUGUGCUGGACAGAGGAAAAGGAAAGGCGAGGGAGAGGGAAGCACGAGUGGGAUGGUCUGUGUGUGGAAGAAUUGAGAGACGAAGGAAAAAAAAAUGAGAUGCGAGCACUGUAAUUGAAAUGCGAGAUGCGAGAGAGAAGUAAGAGGGAAAGUGUGC
rnacentral:lncRNA from 1 species